rnacentral:rRNA from 1 species
GAAUUCGCCCUUAGAGUUUGAUCCUGGCUCAGGACGAACGCUGGCGGCGUGCCUAACACAUGCAAGUCGAGCGAUGAAAGAGAAGUGGCGGUCUUCGGACCAAAGCAUUUCUGGAUUAGCGGCGGACGGGUGAGUAACACGUGAGCAACCUGCCUAUCACAUCGGGAUAGCCUCGGGAAACUGGGAUUAAUACCGAAUGAAACAUAUUGGUAACCUUAUCGAAAUGUCAAAGAUUUAUCGGUGAUAGAUGGGCUCGCGUCUGAUUAGCUAGUUGGUGAGAUAAAAGCCCACCAAGGCAAUGAUCAGUAGCCGGCCUGAGAGGGUGAUCGGCCACAUUGGGACUGAGACACGGCCCAAACUCCUACGGGAGGCAGCAGUGGGGAAUAUUGCACAAUGGAGGGAACUCUGAUGCAGCGACGCCGCGUGAGCGAAGAAGGAAUUCGUUUCGUAAAGCUCUGUCCUAUGGGAAGAUAAUGACGGUACCAUAGAAGAAAGCCCCGGCUAACUACGUGCCAGCAGCCGCGGUAAUACGUAGGGGGCGAGCGUUGUCCGGAAUUAUUGGGCGUAAAGGGUUCGUAGGCGGUAAUACAUGUCAGAUGUGAAAUCUUGUGGCUUAACCACAUCAAGCAUCUGAAACUGUAUAACUUGAGUGGAGGAGAGGUAAGUGGAAUUCCUAGUGUAGCGGUGAAAUGCGUAGAUAUUAGGAAGAAUACCAGUAGCGAAGGCGACUUACUGGCCUCUAACUGACGCUGAUGAACGAAAGCGUGGGUAGCAAACAGGAUUAGAUACCCUGGUAGUCCACGCCGUAAACGAUG